rnacentral:misc_RNA from 1 species
GAUGAAGAACGUAGCGAAAUGCGAUAAGUAAUGUGAAUUGCAGAAUUCAGUGAAUCAUCGAAUCUUUGAACGCACAUUGCGCCCUCUGGUAUUCCGGGGGGCAUGCCUGUUCGAGCGUCAUUAUAACCACUCAAGCUCUCGCUUGGUAUUGGGGUUCGCGGUUCCGCGGCCCCUAAAAUCAGUGGCGGUGCCUGUCGGCUCUACGCGUAGUAAUACUCCUCGCGUCUGGUCCGGUAGGUCUACUUGCCAGCAACCCCCAAUUUUUACAGGUUGACCUCGGAUCAGGUAGGGAUACCCGCUGAACUUAAGCAUAUCAAUAAGCGGAGGA